rnacentral:siRNA from 1 species
GUGGCAUCAUCAAGAUUCAC